rnacentral:rRNA from 1 species
UACGAAGGGGGCUAGCGUUGUUCGGAUUUACUGGGCGUAAAGCGCACGUAGGCGGGUCGUUAAGUCAGGGGUGAAAUCCCGGAGCUCAACUCCGGAACUGCCUUUGAUACUGGCGACCUUGAGGCUGGAAGAGGUUAGUGGAAUCCCAGUGUAGAGGUGAAAUUCGUAGAUAUUGGGAAGAACACCAGUGGCGAAGGCGGCUAACUGGUCCAGAUCUGACGCUGAGGUGCGGAAAAGCGUGGGGAGCAAACAGG